CACCGCUCCCUGCAGUGGGCUGUCCCCAGGCGGGGAGCCAGCCUGCGGCGGAGCUCAUGAAGCGAUAAAUGUCAGGCCCGUGAGGCCGCUCGCGCGCAGCUCGAUGCCCGUGGGAAAGGCAGUGCCUCACCGCUUUAUUUAGAACAGCCCGAGAGGCCUUUUCGGUUGCAGUGUCUAUUUUGUACGUAAAAAGCGGAAGUUGGCCACUGCGUUCAAGCGGGAGGUGUGUUACCCUGCCCGAGUAUGGAAAAAUAGCAAGAAAAGCAUCAUUUUGACCAUGUACAAGACUCAUGAAAUUCUAUAUCCACAUUGAAACAAUUAGAUGUCGUAAUUUUUAAGAUUUCCCUAAAACCUCCUUCCCUAGAAGUGCUUCCUACCCCACUGGCUGAGUACUUUUUAAAAUUUAGGUAAUCCAUCUUUAGUUUUGCUACUUUGGAAUGAUGCUGGUGCAACAGAUUGCUUCUGUGACCUACAUAAAAAUUUGGACCUAAAGCAUGAGGUUUGAUUCUCUAGUUUUAAGCAUUCAUCUCGUUACAGGCUGGUCUCGCAUAACUCAGCAAAGUCGUGUGCAGUGUUUUGUAAUUUGUCAGAUGGUGAUAGAAACAUAAGAAACUUUUAGUUUCUUGAACUCCAGUAACAAUAAAAUUCUUCUUUAUAUCGAGCUGGAAGUUCUUAUAGGCUAAUUCUAGAGAUAUGGAAAAUUUUCCUCUCUUUCUAUGUGAAGUUCUUUUCACUUAUUUUUGAUUAACAAAAGUGCUGAAGUGACUGUAUGGUUUAUUUCUUAGAAAUAAAAUCUGAUUAAAAUUUUUAAGGUUCAGCAUAGCAUCUGGAUCUGUCCAGGUAUUGUUAUUUUAUUCUAAAUUUUAGUGAUGAAAAAUAUUGAAAGCAAGACUGACUUGUUGGAAACGGAACUUCCAUUAAUCCUUUUUGUUCUUUUAGGACAAAGCUAUAUGGAGACUAGUUUAUAAUAGAUGGAUUUGCUGGUAGAAGAAAGGCAUCACAUAGGCAAUAGUUUUCAUGAAAAAAUUAAGAGAUAUUUCGUGGAAUGUCUGUGGAUUGUACUAUGUCACUUCUGUCUUCUGUUGCAAGUCUUUUUAACAUUGCUGUUAAUAUGCCAAUAGAUUCCUAGAUAUUUUUGGAUUCGCUAAGGGUUUAUAUCAUCUGAAGGAUGUUUCAAUGUGGGGGGGAAAGGCCAUCCUAAGAACUUAAUGUGCCUCCUUUUCAUGUUGUUUCAGCAUUCCUUAAUUCUCUGGCCAACAUUUAAUUUUCUGCACUGGAAGACAAGAAAAAAGCAGCAGUAUCUUCAUGUAUUACUGUGAUUAAUAAUCUAAUUAAUACUUUCCUAAUCUCACUUUGUCAUGUAGCUGAUCUUUCUAGUGUCUUAAAAAAGAAAUGUGUUUGGAUUUAUGAAUAUCAUUCAUAGGAAUGUCUCUGUUUUAAAAAGUAAUUUCUCUUAGGACAGUGAUUGAAAGAAGGCUAAGAGAUUGGCAGGUAAUACUGAAAUGGCUUCAUAACCCCCAGCACCUCAUUUUAGAGUCCCAUACAGAAUGUGAAGGAUGUCAUUCACCUAUCAGUUGAUGCCUUAAGCUUCGACAUGACUUAAAAUGAACAAUCAAUUUUAAAAAACCAAAAACCCACAAAAAAAACCAAAACAAAAACACCCCCCAAAAAACCCAACUGAAUAAAACACCCCAAAAACAAAGACACAGAAGAAACCCCAUCAGAUCCUCCCACAUCCACUUGGAAAUAUGUCCUUAGCCCAAAGAUUGCUGAAAACAGUCUAGAACUUCAAAAGCUCAUGCAUUAUGCAUGCAUUAAAUACAAUUGGAGCUAGCUGCUGCAUAACCAAAUAAGCCAUAUUUUGUGCAUGGAUUAAAAAUGGCAUAAUGUUAAACUUGACGGUUUUGAUUGUCCUCUGAGGAAUUCAGUUGAGAUAGGAACAUUUACAGUAAUACAUGACUCAGUCAUUCCAGUGAAUCUGUCAUUACUUUAGCCAUCAUUUUAUAUGAUGUUUUGUCGUUCAUUCUAGUCUCACAGUUUAAAUUGUAGAUGGAGAAGCAUUUGAAUUUUGUCAUUCCUAGUUAAGCCAUGCCUGUUUCAGCUGAUGAAACUGUGGGGAACCUUGCUGUGAGAGAUACAGUCCUUACUCCAGCUGGAAUUGAAGGAUUACAAGAAUCAUCAUCUACACAGAAUGUAAAAGCUCGACAAGUCAUAUCAAGAAUCGGUCGAGAGGAACUGGAGGACAGAUUUCUUCGUCUACGUGAUGACCAUAUCCUACUCAAACAGUAUGCCAAUAAGCAAGAGGAGAAAAUUAAAAGAAUGACCACCAAGUUAACACGGCUCGUUAAUGAUAAAAGAAAAUGUGACCAGGCUGGCUCUGGACCCAAGCGGCUGGGUCAGGCUCUGGAGCUGGAAGAAAUGAUUGAGCAUUUGCGAGAAAAAGUCUGUGAGCUUGAGAAACAAAAUGAGAGCCUCCGCAACAAACUCAUUUCAACUAAACAGCAGCUCCAGAUUCAAGGCCAUAGGCCUUGUCAGUACAGCUCCGUUCAGUCUCGUGUGAACACUGGUCUGAAAAAAGAGAGUGAGACUGCUGGCAUGCCAGAGCACACCAAGAAGGGAAUGAGAUUUCAAGGUUUAGAAGUGAGAUCAUCUGACCUUGUGCUUCCUAAAUAUGGACAGAGUCUGCUCGAGGAUUCAAGAGCUGAAAUCAGAAAUUUGGAGACUGUCAUUGAGUCCCAAAAGAACCAAAUUGAGGAAUUAGACCGUGCCAGAGAGAUUCUUGGGAAUCAACUAAGAAGGAAAGAAAAGGAAAUUGAAGAAUCCACCCUACGGCUGAAAGAGCAGGGUACAGCAAGCCAAAGGCUAAACAUUCAGGACAAUGUGGAAAUGAUCAAAGUCCGUAAACAGCUGGCUGAGAAAAGCAAUGCUCUUUCAGCAAUGGAAGGAAAGUUUCUCCAGCUUGAAGAGAACCUAAAGAACUUGAAGACCAACCAUGAUGCUUUAUUAGCAAAAGGUGAUGAACUGAAUGUUCAGCUUAAAGAGGAGCGGUUAAAGUGCUUUCAUCUUCAAAAAGAAUUGCAGACAGUAACUAUUUCAAACAGAAGGACAGAAGAGUUACAGGAAAGAAUAAAUGAUCUAGAAAAUGAGAACAAACUGUUGAAGGAAAACUAUGAUAAGCUGCAUAACAGUGUCUUCAGUCUGCCCCAUGAACAGCAGUGGAAGUCAAAGGAACAGCAACUGAAACUGCAAAUUGCUAAACUAGAGGCAGCUAUCAAAAAUGAUCUAGCAGACAAAAAUGAAAUCCUUGACAAGAUCAAAGUAGAAAGAGACCAAAAGGAAAAGCUGAUGCAAGACAACAAAGACCUGCAGUUGCGCUACCUGGAACAAAAACAGCAACUAGAUGAUCUGAAAAAUCAAGUGAAGUGUUUAACCAAGGAUAGAAAGCAACAAAAGAAUGUGGACCUUCUGUUCUUGGAAAAAGUGGAAGAUGAUAUCCAUAAAGAUGUAGAAUACUCCAUGCAGGAGCUGCAGUUAACACAUGUGGAAACUGUGCAAGAACUUGAAAAGACAAGGAAUUUGUUACUUGUGCAGCAUAAAAUUAGCAAAAAUUACCAGACUGAAGUAGAAACAAUGACAAGAAAGAUGGAAAGUCUACAGAAAGAUUAUGAGUUAAAAUUGGAACAGUAUACCCAUCUUCUCGAUAUUAGAGCUGCACGUAUCAGAAAACUAGAAGCCCAACUAGGAGACAUUGUGUAUGAUACAAAACCACUUAAGUCCAGACAAGAAGUAUUGCUGAAUGAUCCAGUGUGUGGAUUUGUUGAAACUGUUCAUUUAGAAAGAGGAGAGAACCUUUUUGAAAUUCAUAUCAGCAAAGUGAUCUUCUCUUCUGAAGCUAUGCACACUUUUGGUGACUGGGAACCUGCAACCUUUUGUACUUACGCGUUCUAUGACUUUGAACUUCAGAUAACCCCAGUAGUUCAUGGGAAGACCCCAUCAUAUGACUUCACUUCUCAGUUCCUUGUGCAGUCUGAUGAUAGCUUCUUUCACUAUAUACAGGAAAACAGCAUCACACUGGAGGUUCAUCGUGCGUAUGGCAUAGAUUAUGAAACAAUUGCUUCUUGUCAGCUUAAGUUCCAGGAAAUCUUGGAAAAGGAAGGCAAGAUCUACAACACAGCAAAUUUAGUUGGAAAAACAGGACACAUUCAAAAUUAUGGUACUGUAGAAUACUGGAUCAGGUUGCAAGUUCCUAUGGACCAAGCUAUUCUUCCCUACAAACAGAGGUCAAAGGAUCUGGGAUAUGGGAUAAUGCCCAGUUUUAGGAAGCAUGAACAACCAUCCAAGACUCCAACACUCAAAAUGAAGCAUUGUGCAGCUCAAGCACACAAGAGAGUCUCUUUUCUGGAUCUUAGUGCAGUACAGAUGGCACAUGUGGUGCAGGAUGCUAAACAGCUGUUGGGUGACAAAGUGAAGGACAUGGCUGAAGAAAUUCAGCAGGAAAAAGAAGAGCUUUCUCAUCUGUCAGAGGAGCAAUUGGCUGACCUAACAUUGGUUACUUCUAGAGAUGAGACAGAAAUAAUUGAAGAAUUGGAACCAGAAGGAAGUUGAAAAAAUCCAGAUUAAAAUUACAUCACUUGGUCUUACUGAGUCACGAAUAACAGCAGAUGAAACAAUACAGCAGCUGUUUGUAGAAUGCAGAUUAAACAAUUUCCUUGCAGAGGAGACCCCACUGUCACUUCCAAAACCACCUAGUGGUCAGAGAAUUCACUAUAACUAUAGCACUGCGAUAAAUGUAGAUAAGGAAGAUAAUCAUGCAGAAAGAGAGUAUCUCAAGUCAAUUCUUCUAAAGCCAGAUCUACCUGCUGACAGCCUAAAAUUUACAGUGGUCAGUGAUCCUCCAGAAGAUGAGCAGGAUCUUGAAUGUGAGGACAUUGGAUUUGCUUAUGUCAGUUUAAAAGAGA